CGUCGCAGACUACAGCUCCCAGCAUGCGCCGCCGCUCCCAGCAUGCACCUUCCUCCCGAAACGCGUCUCUGCUUCCGGCGCUCUGCUGCGGAGGCCGUGGCCGCGGGUAGUUGGGAGGAACCGAGAUUUGCGCUUGUUCUGGAGGCCGGGAAGUCCAAGGUCCAGGGGGUGGCAUCUGGUAAAGGCCUUCUUGCCACACCAUUCCAUGGGGGAAGAUGGAAGAGCAAGAGGACACACAAGCAAGAGACAGCUAAACUCAUUUUUACAACACAUGCUCAUGAUAAGGAACCCACUCUGAUAAUGACAUUAAUCCAUUCAUGAAGGCAGAACCCUCAUGGCCUAAUUGCUUCUUAAUGGUUCCACCUCUUAAUACCAUCACAAUGGCAAUUAAAUUUCAACAUGAAUUUUGGAGGGAACAUUCAAACCAUA